UACGUAUGGUGCAAGCGUUAUCCGGAUUUACUGGGUGUAAAGGGAGCGCAGGCGGCACCUUAAGUCUGAUGUGAAAGCCCGGGGCUCAACCCCGGGACUGCAUUGGAAACUGGGGAGCUAGAGUGUCGGAGGGGUAAGUGGAAUUCCUAGUGUAGCGGUGAAAUGCGUAGAUAUUAGGAGGAACACCAGUGGCGAAGGCGGCUUACUGGACGACAACUGACGCUGAGGCUCGAAAGCGUGGGGAGCAAACAGG
rnacentral:rRNA from 1 species